CCUACGGGUGGCAGCAGUGAGGAAUAUUGGUCAAUGGGAGAGAUCCUGAACCAGCCAAGCCGCGUGAAGGACGAAGGUGCCAAGCAUUGUAAACUUCUUUUGUCAAGGGACAAAAUCAGGCUCGAGAGCCUGACCGAGGGUACUUGAAGAAAAAGCAUCGGCUAACUCCGUGCCAGCAGCCGCGGUAAUACGGAGGAUGCGAGCGUUAUCCGGAUUUAUUGGGUUUAAAGGGUGCGUAGGCGGACUGUUAAGUCAGCGGUAAAAGUCCGGGGCUCAACCCCGUCGAGCCGUUGAAACUGGCGGUCUUGAGAUGGCGAGAGGUAGGCGGAAUGCGCGGUGUAGCGGGGAAAUGCAUAGAUAUUGCGCAGAACUCCGAUUGCGAAGGCAGCAUACCGGCGGCGAUCUGACGCUGAGGCACGAAAGCGUGGGUAUCGAACAGGAUUAGAUACCCCUGUAGUC
rnacentral:rRNA from 1 species